AGCGAACGCUGGCGGAAGGCCUAACACAUGCAAGUCGAACGCACCUUCGGGUGAGUGGCGGACGGGUGAGUAACACGUGGGAACGUACCUUUUGGUUCGGAAUAACGCAGGGAAACUUGUGUUAAUACCGAAUGUGCCCUUCGGGGGAAAGAUUUAUCGCCAUUAGAGCGGCCCGCGUUAGAUUAGCUAGUCGGUGAGGU
rnacentral:rRNA from 1 species